rnacentral:lncRNA from 1 species
GGGACACACACACACACCACACAUGCACAUGCAAACCACACACACAAAUCACACACACACAUAAGCCACACACACAAAUCACACACUCAGACGCACCACACACGCACAUGUAAACCACACACACAAUCACACACCACACACACGUAAACCACACACACAAACCACACACAUCAGAUACACCACACAGGCACAUGUAAACCACACACAAUCACACACAUGCACCAUACAUGCACAUGUAAACCACAUACAAAUCACACACACUACACACACACUUAAACCGCACACACAAACCACACACAUCAGACACACCACACAUGCACAUGUAAACCACACACACAAUCACGCACACCACACACGCACAUGUAAGCCACACACACAAAUCACACACAUCAGACACACCACACAUGCACAUGGAGACCACACACACAAAUCACACACACCACAUACACACAUAAACCACACACACACAAAUCACACACAUUGUACACACACACGUAAAUCACGGCACACACCAUACACGCACAUGUAAACCACACACACACAAAUCCUAUACACGCACACACACCACACACGUCAACUAUACACACAAAAAUCACACAUUCCUUCACUACACACGCAUAUAUAAACUACACACAGAAAUCACACAGGCAGACACACUACACAUGCAUAUGUAAAUUACACACACAUAAACUACACACACAACCUAUACACACAAAUCAUACACACACUAUACAUGCACAUAUAAACUACACACUAUACACACACAAAUCACCCACAUGCACACACACGGCACAUACUACACCUACACCUGUGAACUACACACAAACUACACACACAAACUACACACAGAUAUAGACCACACACACAAAACACACACACAUAAACCACACACACAAACUACACACACAUAAACCACACACACAAACUAUACAUACACAUAUAAACCACACACACAAACUACACACACGUAAACUUCACACACAAACUACACAUACAUAUAAAUGAUACACAAACUAUUCACACACAAACUACACACACAAACCACACACACAUAUAAACUACACACACAAACUGUUCACACAUAUAAAAACACAAAGUACACACAAACUAUACACACAAACCACACACACAUAUAAACCACACACACAAAGUACACACACAAACCAUACACAUACAUAUAAACCACACACACAAAUACACACACAUAAACUAUACACAAACUACACACACACAUAUAAACCACAUACACAAACUAUACACAAACACAUAAACUACACACACAAACUACAUACACAUAUAAACCACACACGCAAAGUACACACAUGUAAACUGCACACACAAAGUAUACACACAAAGUGCACACACAUAAGCUACACACAAACCACACACACAUACAAACCACAUACACAAACUAUACACAAACACAUAAACUACACACACAAACUACAUGCACAUAUAAACCACACACUCAAAGUACACAUUCAUAAACUACACACACAAACUAUACACACAUAUAAACCACACACACAAAGUACACACAUGUAAACUGCACACACAAACUAUACACACACAUAUAAAUCACACAAAGUAUACACCUGUAAACUGCACACACAAACUAUACACACACAAAUAAACCACACACACAAAGUACACACACAUAAAGUACACACGAACCACACACACAUAUAAACCACACAAACUACACACACAUAAACUACAC